rnacentral:rRNA from 1 species
GACGAACGCUGGCGGCGUGCUUAACACAUGCAAGUCGAACGGAAAGGCCCCUUUGGGGGUACUCGAGUGGCGAACGGGUGAGUAACACGUGAGUAACCUGCCCUUGACUUCGGGAUAACUUCAGGAAACUGGGGCUAAUACCGGAUAGGAAUCCUUGCUGCAUGGUGGGGGUUGGAAAGCUUCGGCGGUUUUGGAUGGACUCGCGGCUUAUCAGCUUGUUGGUGGGGUAGUGGCUUACCAAGGCUUUGACGGGUAGCCGGCCUGAGAGGGCGACCGGCCACAUUGGGACUGAGAUACGGCCCAGACGCCUACGGGAGGAAGCAGUGGGGAAUAUUGCACAAUGGGCGGAAGCCUGAUGCAGCAACGCCGCGGGCGGGAUGACGGCCUUCGGGUUGUAAACCGCUUUCAGCAGGGGCGAAGCUUGUGGUGACGGUACCUGCAGAAGAAGCACCGGCUAACUACGUG